GCAUGAGUUUAUAUCCCUUAGACAUGUUAAGGCGAAGUAGCCUUCCAUUGUUGCUGGCAAAAACAAGUCAUCUCUAUAUGGGGAAUUACACAUAAACAGACAAGGUCCAAUAGUAUCCCUACAAAAUGAAGUACUGAUGAAACAUUGUACUAUUACUAACAAAACUAUUUGAUAUUGUCCUUCAUAUAAUUUCUUAGACAAACUUCUGGUACUGCAUUUUGCAUGUUCUUCUCAAUCAAAGCUCAAAGGGAGAUGAACCAGCAAUUGCAGCCAUGGAUAGAGCCACAGUUUG
rnacentral:lncRNA from 1 species